CGACGCGUCAUGCGUGUCAUGUAACACACCGCAGCCACAUGCAUCACUAUUAUUUUGUUUUUCCUUUUUUAUUUAAAAUAUUCACAAACCUUGCUUGCCAUGUCAUCAACUAUCUGAUAUUCAUAUUCUCAAAUACGUGAAUGCACUUCUAACAGUUGAGUGCUGGAUAAUAAACGGGCUCAUAUAUCCAUAUUCACCCAUCAGGUGGUCAUCGUGCGGAUUCUUAUGGAGCAGAGCAGCGUGACUGAUCUGGUGUGCAGACAUCAUCAGGAGCACAAACAUAUUUUGGAUUCUUGGUUGCUGCUGGAAUGUCAUUUUUUCACCUAUUUUAUGGAAUGAAGAAAGCUGCCGAAGCAGAUAAAGUCCAUCAGACUGAGUGAACAAGCAUGAAUCAAGUGUCCUCCUCAGAAAGAGCCAAGGAAUGCGGGAAGGUUCUUUGUACAACUGUAUAUUUUAGCUUAAGAGAACAAAAGAUUUCCUAAAUUCUGUGGCUCUAUUGAUGAAGCAUCACAUGGGUCACUGUAAUCUCUUGUGAUAGUGGCUAGUGUGAAUUUUUAGGUUUCACAACAGUUCUAACAUUAAAAGUGCAAAAGGUUUAGGAGUGGAGAACAAGUUUUUGUGAUUGUUUCAAGUGGUGACAACAUUAUGACAAGUUCACAUCUGGUUUUGCACAAUUCACUAGCGUUGCUUGCUUUUAAUCAUGCUGUUGUGAAGGAAGCUGGCUUCAUGGACAAUAUAGAUAAGUGUUUCCAAUCCUCUGUGGUUUACUGGAAGACAAAAGCAUUACUGUAUGAUGAGGAAAGAUGCUUUUCACAAACAAAUAAAGAGUCAGCAACUUCGGUUUGCCACCAUAUUUUCUGAGCAUAUGCAUGCACAAAGGUGGUCGAAUUUCCACUUCCACUUAUGCAAUGUUGAGAAGGCAUGGAGUCCAGCUAAUUAUUGAAAUGUGACUUUUCUUGGCCAAGCACACCCUUAUA